AUACGGAGGGUGCAAGCGUUAUUCGGAAUCACUGGGCGUAAAGGACGCGUAGGCGGGUUGGCAAGUCAGAUGUGAAAUCCUACAGCUUAACUGUAGAACUGCAUUUGAAACUGCUAACCUAGAGUAUGGGAGGGGGAGAUGGAAUUAGUGGUGUAGGGGUAAAAUCCGUAGAUAUCACUAGGAAUACCGAAAGCGAAGGCGAUCUCCUGGAACAUAACUGACGCUAAGGCGUGAAAGCGUGGGGUGCAAACAGGAUUAGAAACCCUAGUAGUCC
rnacentral:rRNA from 1 species